CCUACGGGAGGCAGCAGUGAGGAAUAUUGGUCAAUGGGCGGAAGCCUGAACCAGCCAAGUCGCGUGAGGGAUUAAGGCCCUGCGGGUCGUAAACCUCUUUUGUCGGGGAGCAAAAGACGCCACGCGUGGCGUUCCGAGAGUACCCGACGAAAAAGCAUCGGCUAACUCCGUGCCAGCAGCCGCGGUAAUACGGAGGAUGCGAGCGUUAUCCGGAUUUAUUGGGUUUAAAGGGUGCGCAGGCGGAAGAUCAAGUCAGCGGUAAAAUUGAGAGGCUCAACCUCUUCGAGCCGUUGAAACUGGUGGUCGUGAGUGAGUGAGAAGUAUGCGGAAUGCGUGGUGUAGCAGUGAAAUGCAUAGAUAUCACGCAGAACUCCGAUUGCGAAGGCAGCAUACCGGCGCUCAACUGACGCUCAUGCACGAAAGUGUGGGUAUCGAACAGGAUUAGAUACCCGGGUAGUC
rnacentral:rRNA from 1 species